AGUUUGAUCCUGGCUCAGGAUGAACGCUGGCGGUAUGCUUAACACAUGCAAGUCGAACGGGAUGCUUAGGCAUCUAGUGGCGGACGGGUGAGUAACGCGUGAGAAUCUGGCUCCAGGUCGGGGAUAACAGUUGGAAACGACUGCUAAUACCGGAUGUGCCGAGAGGUGAAAGAUUUAUUGCCUGGAGAUGAGCUCGCGUCUGAUUAGCUAGUUGGUGGUGUAAGGGACCACCAAGGCGUCGAUCAGUAGCUGGUCUGAGAGGAUGAUCAGCCACACUGGGACUGAGACACGGCCCAGACUCCUACGGGAGGCAGCAGUGGGGAAUUUUCCGCAAUGGGCGAAAGCCUGACGGAGCAAUACCGCGUGAGGGAGGAAGGCUCUUGGGUCGUAAACCUCUUUUCUCAAGGAAGAAGAAAGUGACGGUACUUGAGGAAUAAGCAUCGGCUAACUCCGUGCCAGCAGCCGCGGUAAUACGGAGGAUGCAAGCGUUAUCCGGAAUGAUUGGGCGUAAAGGGUCUGCAGGUGGAACUGAAAGUCUGCUGUUAAAGAGUUUGGCUUAACCAAAUAAAAGCGGUGGAAACUACAGAACUAGAGUGCGGUAGGGGCAAAAGGAAUUCCUGGUGUAGCGGUGAAAUGCGUAGAUAUCAGGAAGAACACCGGUGGCGAAAGCGUUUUGCUAGACCGUAACUGACACUGAGGGACGAAAGCUAGGGGAGCGAAUGGGAUUAGAUACCCCAGUAGUCCUAGCCGUAAACGAUGGAUACUAGGCGUGGCUUGUAUCGACCCGAGCCGUGCCGGAGCUAACGCGUUAAGUAUCCCGCCUGGGGAGUACGCACGCAAGUGUGAAACUCAAAGGAAUUGACGGGGGCCCGCACAAGCGGUGGAGUAUGUGGUUUAAUUCGAUGCAACGCGAAGAACCUUACCAAGACUUGACAUCCUGCGAAUCCUGGUGAAAGCUGGGAGUGCCUUAGGGAGCGCAGAGACAGGUGGUGCAUGGCUGUCGUCAGCUCGUGUCGUGAGAUGUUGGGUUAAGUCCCGCAACGAGCGCAACCCUCGUUUUUAGUUGCCAGCAUUAAGUUGGGCACUCUAGAGAGACUGCCGGUGACAAACCGGAGGAAGGUGAGGAUGACGUCAAGUCAGCAUGCCCCUUACGUCUUGGGCUACACACGUACUACAAUGCUACGGACAGAGGGCAGCGAGCCAGGGAUGGCAAGCGAAUCCAGAAACCGUAGCUCAGUUCAGAUCGAAGGCUGCAACUCGCCUUCGUGAAGGAGGAAUCGCUAGUAAUUGCAGGUCAGCAUACUGCAGUGAAUUCGUUCCCGGGCCUUGUACACACCGCCCGUCACACCAUGGAAGUUGGUCACGCCCGAAGUCAUUACCCCAACCGAAAGGAGGGGAUGCUAAGGUAAGGACUGGUGACU
rnacentral:rRNA from 1 species